CAUUUCCCCUGUAGCUUCAAAGAUUUGCAAACCCAAAUCAACAACGUCGAAGCAGUAACAAGAGACUCUGAAGUGGAGCAACAGGGUAGGGAAAUAGACCCUCAGACUCUGCGUCUGUCGCCUGCAUUCAAAUUCACCACUUACUGUGUGAUCCCAAGGCAGAGAAGCCUUUGCUAAUUUCACAACAGGAACACACACAGGAAAUUCGAGAACACGGCAAAUCUACACACACAGCCCAGCAUCUUCAAGCAAACUCACUGAGACCUCCUAUCUCUGAAGUCUUAUGAGCAAGAAUUGCUACACCCAGGCUUUGCCAACAUGACCCAAAUGCAGAUGAGAAACUGACCAAAACAUUUUAAAACUGUGUAUAUGAAGUUAUUUUGAAAUCAGGACAACAGCCAAGCCUCAGAGAGGAAGGUAAGUUCCCAAGUCCCAGGGCUGCCUGUCUGGGCAGCUUCCCCCUCCACAAGGCUGUCACAAACCUUAGCAUUUUAGAUUUGAAAGAGACCUCGGACAUCUAGUCUAAGCAAGGAUAGGGGCGUGGAGAUGUUAAGCUACAAGUUCAUGUUCACAUUGAGAGCAGGGAGCUGGUUGCUACCAUGCUCUCCAGCACUUAAUAUAGUUCCUCCCACGGUGUAGGCUCUCAGUAAAUUUUUGAUAAAUGGUUGAGUUAAUAAACAGCAGCAAAGCAGAACAUAAAUCUGAUUUCACUGAUUGCUAGUUCAUGCUCUUUCUACACUGUUUCUUCAGCAUGAGAGGUGGUAUCUAAAGCCAAUUGUACCAUAAGACAUUUUUCUUCCAAAUAUACCAUAAGCCAUUAAAUUUGUCACCAAUAAAGAUUGUUUUUGACUCUAUAUAUAACAUAUAUUCUCCAUUAUACUUUUAA